UGCGAGUCGAUGUAGCAAUACAUGGCGUACUGCUCAGUAACACGUGGACAACCUACCCUUAGGUCGGGGAUAAACCCGGGAAACUGGGUAUAAUACCCGAUAGAUCUCGACUGCUGGAAUGCAUCGAGAUCGAAAGCUCCGGCGCCAAGGAUGGGUCUGCGGCCUAUCAGGUAGUAGUGGGUGUAGCGUACCUACUAGCCUACGACGGGUACGGGUUGUGAGAGCAAGGGCCCGGAGAUGGAUUCUGAGACACGAAUCCAGGCCCUACGGGGUGCAGCAGGCGCGAAAACUUUACAAUGCUGGAAACAGCGAUAAGGGGACCUCGAGUGCCAGGUUACAAAUCUGGCUGUCGUGAUGCCUAAAAAGCAUUGCAUAGCAAGGGCCGGGCAAGACCGGUGCCAGCCGCCGCGGUAACACCGGCGACACGAGUGGUAACCGUUAUUAUUGGGUCUAAAGGGUCUGUAGCCGGCCGGAUAAGUCUCUUGGGAAAUCCAGCAGCUCAACUGUUGGGCUUUCAGGAGAUACUGUCUGGCUCGAGGCCGGGAGAGGUGAGAGGUACUUCAGGGGUAGGGGUGAAAUCUUGUAAUCCUUGAAGGACCACCAGUGGCGAAGGCGUCUCACCAGAACGGACCUGACGGCAAGGGACGAAAGCUAGGGGCACGAACCGGAUUAGAUACCCGGGUAGUCCUAGCCGUAAACGAUACUCGCUAGGUGUCGGCCACGGUGCGACC
rnacentral:rRNA from 1 species